rnacentral:misc_RNA from 1 species
AAGUCGUAACAAGGUUUCCGUAGGUGAACCUGCGGAAGGAUCAUUAACACAAUUUUACUGUGAUAAAUCCGUUGAAUUCUCGAAUUCAAUGGUAUCCACCCCAUUAUUGACGAACUUUUCUAGAUGUUACAACAUAGAGCUAGUCUUUAUGUUUUUAACAUUCUAAACCUUUUUCUAUAUCCACACAAAUUUAAACCCCUUUUACAACAUGUAUUAGACUGAAAUGAAAAUUUUCUAUCAAAAAAUUGAUAAAAACAACUUUUAACAACGGAUAUCUUGGCUCUC